rnacentral:rRNA from 1 species
UUGGUCAUUUAGAGGAAGUAAAAGUCGUAACAAGGUCUCCGUUGGUGAACCAGCGGAGGGAUCAUUACCGAGUUUACAACUCCCAAACCCCUGUGAACAUACCUAUACGUUGCCUCGGCGGAUCAGCCCGCGCCCCGUAAAACGGGACGGCCCGCCCGAGGACCCCUAAACUCUGUUUUUAGUGGAACUUCUGAGUAAAACAAACAAAUAAAUCAAAACUUUCAACAACGGAUCUCUUGGUUCUGGCAUCGAUGAAGAACGCAGCAAAAUGCGAUAAGUAGUGUGAAUUGCAGAAUUCAGUGAAUCAUCGAAUCUUUGAACGCACAUUGCGCCCGCCAGUAUUCUGGCGGGCAUGCCUGUUCGAGCGUCAUUUCAACCCUCAAGCUCAGCUUGGUGUUGGGACUCGCGGUAACCCGCGAUCCCCAAAUCGAUUGGCGGUCACGUCGAGCUUCCAUAGCGUAGUAAUCAUACACCUCGUUACUGGUAAUCGUCGCGGCCACGCCGUAAAACCCCAACUUCUGAAUGUUGACCUCGGAUCAGGUAGGAAUACCCGCUGAACUUAAGCAUAUCAAUAAG